AGCAGUCAGUGCUCAUAACCACACCACCUUUCAUCUAACCUGCCCCUUAGAGACAGGUCGCCCGUUUUCACCGCGCCGUCCUACUUUUUUGGGGUGCUUGAGGGGGUCGGGCCGAGUUCAUCCCGCGUUCACUGUGCUCGGGCGGGAGAGCAGGGACCGUUUGUGCCACUCGGGAGAAGUGGUACCUGCACCACUGUGCGUGGGUGAGCGUCCCCCUGAGCUAGGGAGGACCCUGCGGAGAGACGGAGUGCGUGCGUGAGGAGUGGUCUGCAUUGGUUUGCUUGAUCGAGACCGAUGUCGGGUGACACCUAGCGGUGACAAGUUUCCCCGGUUGAUGACAAGGACGGGAAGCCCCUUCCUUGAGCUGGCCAGAGGUCUGGAGUCCCUUCCAGCCAGCAAACGCCUCCUUUGUCCCGGAGAUGGUGUCACGUGAGGGUGCGUUCUCUCUAAGACGUGGUCCUGGGAGAUCUAAGCGGGGAAUGUUAGUUGCUGUGCUCACUAUUGAGACAAAUUACAGGGUUGGUGGCGCUGGAUCAGGUCAACUUGAAGGCUUAAGCCCCACCCGGGGAAUUUUAUUUUUUCCCUUUUUCCCUCCUUUCUCCCUGUCCCUGGAGGGCAGGGCUCUGGAUUUCAGAGGCCAAGAGGAUGAUGUGGCCCAGGUUUCCAAGCCAUUGGGGCCCAGCCUGGUCUCUCCGGAGCUUCAGAGUCUUUUUAUUUAAAAUUUUUCCAGGAGCCCUUUGGUCCCUCGGUCCAGGGCUCUAGAUUUUUGAGACUGAGAUAAUGCUGUGGCGAGGACAUUCUAGCAUGGCCCUGUCUAUCUACAUCUCAUGGCUGUGAGGUCAACUGACUUUUCCUUGGAGGUUCAUUCUCCUGUUCAUGGGGACUUUUUUGGGACACCGUACCAGGCAUGACUUCCAGGUUUACCAUGUGGCCUGUGAAUUUCCUCCCUGUCCCGUUAUUGUUUUGAUCUUUGCAGUCUGUCCGAUCUGUACCUGGAGGUGUGUGCUGGCACACUGUCCUGUGGUUGGUGUUAUUAAAGGAACCUUAAGGCUGUUGGAUUAUCCGGCCACCUGUUUUCUGCCCUAGGGGCUCAGAGUGCCAGACACUACACCUGCACACACCACAUACUUCUCACUUCAUGUGCGCUCUCUGGGUGGCUUCUGACAACUGGGGACUGUCUAUUGUUUUCGGACCUGCUUUCUCCUCGGCCAUUGUCACCUGUACUGGGUGGAAUUGUGGAGCCAGGGGCGGGGUGCUCCUCUGUGAUCAGUUUCUGACUUUGUGGUUUUGUUUUGUUGUUGAGUACCCAAGUCUGUACAAGUCCCUGCUUGGUGUGUCCUGGUCUUUCUGCCACCUGCCUCCCGAGUGCACUGCUUUGCCCACCUCACAGAGUUGCUUUCUUGGAGGGAAGCUUGAGGCAAACUCUCUCUAUAUCCUCUCCCUCCAGAGGACAGACAGGGAACUGGGUCAUCAUUAGCACUUGAGGUUGCCCUGGGAAAUCAGAAGGGAAGCCAAAAUCAAAGUGUUUUUGGUAAAGCACCAGGACUACAUACCAGCCCAUCUGGACUCACUGCCCUUCCUCCCAGAGCAAGGAUGAUCCCAGCAAAGAAAGGGUACUCUUUAGAUAAAAGAGCCUGCUUACAAUUCUUUGCACGUAAACUGGAUUUAAAUAACUGUCAUCUAGAGGAGAGCAAGCAUAGAGAACAACAACAACAACAAAGACAACAACAACAACAAAGACAACAACAACAACAAAAACAAAGACAACAACA
rnacentral:sRNA from 1 species